AUGGCCGCCGCCUCGCCCGAGUUCUUCAACCCGGCGGACGCCUUCUCGCCGCGCAUGCACCUCCUCUCCGCCGGCGCUGGAGACGGCGGCUGUGGCGACGGCGACGAAUACUACCGCUGCUGCAGGACGCCCACGGGCGCCGGGAUCGGCUGCCUGGGCCAGGCGGCCACCUGCCCGCCGGCGCCGCGGAAGCCGCGCGCGCAGCCCGACGCGGCCUGCCGGAAGCGCCUCUUCGACGUCCAGGUCAUCAGCCUCCGCUUCGACGACCUCGACGCCAUCUUCCGCCCCUCGCCGCCGCCGCCCUGCCACGACCGCAACAACAAGCAGCAGCAGCGGCGGCAGCGGAGCCGCCGCGUGCUCGGCAGGCUCGCCGCUGGCUCCACCGGCCGGCGCAGCCGCGCCAGCUUAAAUUAA
rnacentral:rRNA from 1 species